UACCAGCACCCGAGUGGUCGGACGAUUAUUGGGUCCGUAAAGCAUCCGUAGCCGGUCCUACAAGUCUUCCGUUAAAUCCACCUGCUUAACAGAUGGGCUGCGGAAGAUACUAUAGGGCUAGGAGGCGGGAGAGGCAAGCGGUACUCAGUGGGUAGGGGUAAAAUCCUCUGAUCCAUUGAAGACCACCAGUGGCGAAGGCGGCUUGCCAGAACGCGCUCGACGGUGAGGGAUGAAAAGCUGGGGGAGCAAACCGGG
rnacentral:rRNA from 1 species